GAAGGGCAUUUCUGUCAUUCCAGCCAAACUAAUUCCUAAUUUUCUCCUUUUUUUUGGCUAUAUUGUCACCACCAGUUUCCUUUAUGUCUUGGAUCUUCAUAUUGAUAAAAACACCACACCUGCCUCUUUAAAGUUGAACAAAAUUCAACUCCCCCAAAAAACAAGCCUCCUCUCAUCAUCCAUUCAAAAAAAGACCAUGAAAAUUUGUAACCCCAAAUCCUCAUUCAUGUUCUUGAUGAUCAUAUUGGCUUCCAUCACCCACCUCUCAAGUUGCCACUUCAUCCAUAGAAGAAGCUUAAGCAGUGAAGCUGAAGAAAGAAGCAACACAGAGUUCCACACCUGGCAUUUACCUGCAAAAUCUCCAGAGCCAUCAUCAAGAGCUGAAAAGGAUCAACCGGUUUAUCAAGUUUCUUAUAGAACAGUUCCUGGAGGACCUAACCCUCUUCAUAAUUGAUUCAAUCCAUUGCAGAUCUUUUUAAUUGUAUGUAUUUGAGGAACGGUGGUGGAGGAGGUCUGGUGAGGCUGUGGGAGAGAGAAGGUGGGGGAUUUUUAUUUUAUUCAAUAUUAAUAUUAAUAUUAAUAUUAAUAUUAAUUUAUUAUUAUAGUAUUUUGAAAAUAUUUAUGUUUACAUAUUCUUUUAAUUUUUUAAUUUUUUUAGGAUUAGUAUGAAAUAAGAA